CUGCAGCCCGAGUGGUGAUCGAUUUUAUUGAGCCUAAAGCGUCCGUAGCCGGACUAGUAAACCCUUGGGCAAAUUGGGCAGCUUAACUGUCCAAAUUCCGAGGGGACUGCUAGUCUUGGGACCGGGAGAGGUCAGAGGUACUCAAGGGGUAGGGGCUAAAUCCUGUAAUCCUUUGGGGACCACCAGUGGCGAAGGCGUCUGACUAGAACGGAUCCGACGGUAAGGGACGAAACCCUGGGGCGCGAACCGGAUUAGAUACCCGAGUAGUCC
rnacentral:rRNA from 1 species